UGUGCGAACAUGGCGCGACGGAAUCUCCCGACGUGCGAUGUGAAUCGCUCGAAUCUACUCCGCAUUAAGCAUUACUUUUGGCGGCUGAUUCUUGGCCGAAGGCAACAUGGCAAAGAAAGCAGCAACAGAGACAGCACCGAAAACCCAAGACUGCGAAACCGAAGGUCGCCAAGGCCAAAGCAGCACCCGCACAGGCGCAGGGCAAGGCCUUCACUCUGGAGGAAACGCUCAGCCAACUGAAGGCCUUGGGCCACGCGAGUGUGCGGGCGCAAAAUGCCAAGGGCGGGGCCUGGGGCGCCGGUGCUGGUGACAAUCAGUUCGGCGUGAAGCGCGGCGACAUUCGUAAGGUCGCGGACAAGAUCAAGACGAAUCAUGAACUGGCCUUGGCGCUGUGGGAGACCGGCAACGUUGACGCCCAGCAAUUGGCGACGCUCCUGAUCGACGUCAAACUCCUGUCAGCCGAUGAGUUGGAGCGGAUGGUGAAGUCGAUCUCCUUUGCGUGGGUGGCUGACUGCUCCAGUCAUACGUCGUGAAGGAGCACGCCGAUAAAGAAGCGCUGCGCAACAAGUGGCUGACAUCGAAUGAUCGCUGGACGGCCCGUUCCGGCUGGCAACUGACGGCCGGGCGGGUCGUGAAGAGCCCGGACGGACUCGACCUCGACGCUCUGCUCGAUCGCAUUGAAAAGGAGAUGCCCACCGCCCCUGCCGAAGUGCAAUGGACGAUGAACAUGUGCUCGCGGAAAUCGGCAUCCACUUUGCCAAACAGCGCAAGCGGGCGAUCGCGAUCGGCGAAAAGCUAGGAAUCUAUCGCGACUAUCCGUGUUCCAAAGGGUGCACAUCCCCCUUCGCUCCGAUCUGGAUCAACGAAAUGGUGAAACGGCAAGGAGUGAACCAUGAAACAAGCAAUUGGGCUGGACCAUUCUCGUCGUCUUGGUGCUGCUUGGCCUGGGGCUAUCGGCCACCAACUACCUGCUGUCGGUGAAAGCUCGCGCAGGAGCUGGGCUCGGUGCAGGCCCAGGGCAGAAAAUCCGAGCAAGCCGUUCUGGAACUGCACGAGCGGAUCGGCUCAACUGAAAAAUGAUCACGCUGAGUCGAAUGAGAAUUUCGGGGCGGAUUGCUCGCGAGUGAGACGGCUUGGACAACGAGCGCCGACGGCCAGUUGCAGG
rnacentral:misc_RNA from 1 species